UGGACAACUUAUUGUAUUCGACUGUAUUCAUGACGUUAAACAGAGGAUUACACUGUUUUUAAACAGAAAGUGAACCAAUUAACAUAAUAGACUCCU
rnacentral:pre_miRNA from 1 species